UCAAAGUGGCCUAGUGAGUUAUCGAAAUCUUCUGGGUGUAGGCCAGGUGCUUUAUUUAAGCUACACUUUG
rnacentral:tRNA from 1 species